CUUAACGGUAGAGCGGCGGUCUCCAAAACCGAAGGUUGUGAGUUCGAAUCUUACUUCCC
rnacentral:tRNA from 1 species